rnacentral:rRNA from 1 species
AUUGAACGCUGGCGGCAGGCCUAACACAUGCAAGUCGAACGAGUGGCGGACGGGUGAGUAAUGUCUGGGAAACUGCCUGAUGGAGGGGGAUAACUACUGGAAACGGUAGCUAAUACCGCAUACCAUCGGAUGUGCCCAGAUGGGAUGAGCUAGUAGGUGGGGUAAAGGCUCACCUAGACGACGAUCCCUAGCUGGUCUGAGAGGUGGACCAGCCACACUGGAACGGCGACACGGGCUAGACUCCUACGGGAGGCUUCAGUGGGGAUUAUUGCACUAUGGGCGAAAGCCUGAUGCAGCCAUGCCGCGGUGAUGAAGAAGGCCUUCGGGUUGUAAAGUACUUUCCGCGGGGUGGCGUUACCCGCAGAAGAAGCACCGGCUAACUCCGUGCCAGCAGCCGCGGUAAUAC